rnacentral:rRNA from 1 species
GUACGGGAGGCAGCAAUUAGGAAUCUUGCGCAAUGGGCGAAAGCCUGACGCAGCGACGCCGCGUGCAGGAUGACGGCCUUCGGGUUGUAAACUGCUUUUAAGAAGGAAGAAGGAAGUGACGGUACUUCUUGAAUAAGCCCCGGCUAACUACGUGCCAGCAGCCGCGGUAAUACGUAGGGGGCGAGCGUUGUCCGAAUUUACUGGGCGUAAAGCGCGCGUAGGCGGACCUUUAAGUCAGGGGUGAAAUUCCGGGGCUCAACUUCGGAACUGCCUUUGAAACUGGGGGUCUUGAGGUAUGGAGAGGGAAGUGGAAUUCCUGGUGUAGCGGUGAAAUGCGUAGAUAUCAGGAGGAACACCCGUGGCGAAGGCGGCUUCCUGGCCAUAUCCUGACGCUGAGGUGCGAAAGCCAGGGGAGCGAACGGGAUUAGAUACCCUGGU